GGGUUUAUAGUUUAAUUGGUUGAACUGUACCGCUCAUAAAAGUGAUAUUGUAGGUUCGAGCCCUACUAAGCGUA
rnacentral:tRNA from 1 species